GUGAGGCGGCUAACUGUGAGCUGCUGCUCGUUAUAACUGACUGCUCUAUCGGUCCCGAAUUAUUUCAUAUUUGCCUGUACAUUUUCUUUUUUAUUUUGAGCGAAUUUGAGUCGUGACAUGUCAAUGGAGAACAAAAACUGUGAACACAAGAAGGGUCAGGUGUUCUGCGAGGUCCUGAAAACAUCCUGGCAAAAUGAGAGUCAUCGAGGAUCCAGCUUGUUCUUGAAACAUUGAAGUUUGCACUCUGCAAGUGAAUGACGCCUUGUGGUGCCAUCCCAAAGAGGUUCAAAAUCACUCUCACGGACCUUUUCCUGGACUGUGCCCAGCUGGUGGAAUGACCUCCCAAUCUCAAUCCGAACUGCUGAGUCUUUACUCAUUUUCAAGAAACAUCUUAAGACUCAUCUUUUUCACCGGAACUUAACCAACUAAUGCUAGCACUUUUCCUUCUUUUCUUGUCUUUCAUAUUAAAAAAAAAAAAAAAAACCUGGCUAUGCGUUCUGUACUAGACUAACUGAGACUUGUCAUAGCACUUGUAUACUGUUGUUGUUCUCUUGUUGACCUGACUGCUUCUGUUCUUCUCAUUUGUAAGUGGCUUUGGAUAAAAGCGUCUGUUAAAUGAUUAAAUGUAAAUGUUUAUACAGGACGGUACAGAAAGUGCACAAGUGGGAGAGAGUGGAGGGGACGGCGUCAGAAUGGACCUAGCGCUGGGACACUUUCAAGGAUCACCCGAAGCACAACCACACUGUAUACACGAGGCUGCUGGUUCUAACAUUUUAGAGUGCCCUGCGGUCGAAAUCUCAUUCUGCAUUCCCCACGGUAAAGAAGACACAGUCCGGGGGGGUUCCCAUUAGAAAUCAACUGGUUGAAGGUUCCCUGCUCGUACUGUGCAACACAUUUUCACUGCACAAAUGUGCACAACUUGAAAUGAGACACAUUACUAAAACAUGUUUUUGACAGAAACUGUAGUUUUCCACCAAAAUAAAAGAUCCACUGGUUUCAGUCAUAAAGGUACAAGGGUUUGUCUUGUAAGUGCUGAAAAAAAUAUGCAUUUUUGUGCCGAAUUAUUUUACAAAAACCUUUAAAUAUUAUUGUAUUUGGAUUGUUCUACUACAUGUUUUUAGCAUUACCUCCAUGCAUACUCUGCAUAAUAAAGUGUGGGAUUAUUUUCAUCUGUUUUAUUCAGUAUGUUUCCAAAAUUUAACUGCUGUUUGACAAUUUUGAGCAUGUGGUAGUUUAUUGAAGUUGUUUGUAAAGCCAUUGCUGCCAGUCAUUAGAUUUUUAGCCUUGCAUGUACAUUGUUGAUCUAAAUGCCAACUAGGAUCUAGGUGUAUUUACACACGGUGCAAGGUACGACGGGGAAACAACGUCGUGUUAUCAACGCUGAUUAACUUUUCAAA